CUUCCGCCCGGGCCGCCCUCGGCGCCGCCUGAGCCGCGGUGCGGGCUGCGCGGGGCGCCGGUUCCGCGGAAGCCUGGGUCGGGCGCUGCGUGCGGGACUCUCGUCGCUUGUGGACGGGGCGCGAGCGCGCGGGGGACGUAGGGCGCCGACCUGGGCCUACCCGGCGCUCCGGCUCCGCUCAGGGCGCCCGCUCAGGGGCCUCCGGCGCGAGGCCCCCUUUGUGGUCAAGAUGGCGGCGCCCCGGCGGGCCGUGCCGAGGUGAGCUGGAGCCGGGCCCGGAGAGGGGCGAGUCUGCCACGCCCAGGACUUGGACCCCGGGCUGGUCUCCCGUCUCCCGGGGAGCGGCGGGUUGAUGGGCGCUACGGGAUAAGGAAAAGGAUGUGAAGCUCACUGAAGAGGCUUGGGUUGGGAGUGCUGGAGGAGUGUACAGAGACUCAGCACCUUUCUGUACAGAAAUGGAGACAGGAAGAGGCCAGAGGAUGAAUGACAGGCACGAAUGAGGUGGAACUUUGAAGAGCAACAUGGAAAUGAAAUACUUCUUUUGUAUUUGGUAGUUGGGGAAAAUGUACCAGCGUGUAUGCCUACUGGGACCAUGUUUUCCAGAACAGUUAAGCCCAGUGUCAACUAUGCUGUCCCACCUUCCUCGGGUGUCCAGAGAAGGUAACUACUUUGCCCACGUCCUAAACUGAAAUACCCUGAGCCAAGGUGGAAAAUAAAUGGAAAACUGGAGGAAUUUAGAUCCUUUUGUUGUAAAUAUAAAUAUUUUUAAUUGUAAAAAUAAUACAGGUUCAUUGCAGAAACUCCAAAAUUGAAAGGAUUUAAAGAAAAAAGGAAAACUCAAAAUCCCAUUUCUGAUAAGUCAUUUCUGUAACAUUUUUGAGGGUGUCUUUUGAAACUUUUUUGUGAUGAGGUGCAUAUAAAUACAGUGCAAGUAUAAAAUACCUUUAAUUAUUAUAUCAAACUACAAAACAGUUCUAUAACAUUUUUAUUUAGUAAUAUAAGUAUGAUUACUCAUCACCUAAUAAAAAUCUGCAGCAUCAUUUUUAAUGGUUGAACAGCAUUCUAUUAUUUAUUUAACCAGUCCCUACUGUUCAACAUUUAGAUUAUUCCUGUUUUGCUUUGCUAAACAAUGAGACAAGCAUCCUUGUUCAUAUGUCUUUGAGCAUUUGUUUAUUUCCUUAGAAUGGACUUCUAGAACUUGAAUGGCUGGUUGUCAGUUCUGGUACACACUGACAUAUUGUCUUCCAGAAAGGUUACCGUGCUUUUUAUUUCUACCAAGAAUUUAACAUCCAGUGUGGUUUCUUACACACACUCAUCAGUACCAGCAUUAUCAAUAUCAAUACCAGUAUUACUAAGUUUUUUAGAACUUUGUCAUUCUAGUCAGUAAAAUAUGACACCUGAAUUAUUUUAUUUGUAUUUCUUUGAUUAAUAAUAGCAAGGUUGAACAUAUUUUCAUAUCUUUAUUGGCUGUUAAUACUUUUUAGUUUGUGACUUUAUGACAUCCAUUUUUCAUCGAUGUAUAACAACCUUUUAUAUCUCAAUGUGUUUAUUUUGUUUGUUGUCAAUGCAAUUUUUUUCCUUCAUUUAUUAAUUUUUAUUUUGUGUGUGUUGAACUUCUUUAAUACUGUCAAGUCUAUUCAAAAACCCUUUAAUGAACACAACAAAUGUGGAAAAUCAGUCAUUCUCCUGCAUUUUGUAAUCAAUUUAUUUCCUUUUGGGCAGUAUGGAAAUGUAAGUUUUUAUUUCAUCUUAUGGUUGGAAAGAAUCUAUUCCCUCGGAAAGGGAUCAUAGUCUCCAUGAUGCAGUAAUGGGAGAUUUUAUAGGGUAGGCAGGGUCUACAGAAGAAAAAACCCUAAAUCACACUCCAUUGGUGGUUGCCUUAUUUAUUAAAAUGGCAUUUGAGGUUGUGUGACUGCCAUCAGGUAAGCAAAAUUAAUUUUUAGCAUGAAGUACUCCUGUCAGCAAGAACAGCCUAGGAUAGGCUAGCAGUAAGAAGUGAGGGGUUAUGGGAUUGGGGCAUAGCCUCUGUUUCCUCCAAUGCAGCUGGAAAUUUAAAUUCUGGGGCUCCUGCUUGAUCCAGUCAGCCCAGCUAGUAUGUGUUGCCAGGUAGGGUGAAUAGACUCAGAAGUACAAGAGCUCAUCCUUGGUCCCCUCUGGAAAUGAGCAGAGAAUACUGUGUCAAGCAGAGGUGAUCAGUCCAUGGUCUGGAGACUUGGAUCUCCUCACAUAGUCCUUAAAGUCAGGGUGAGACAAAAUGCCAAUACAAAUUAUAUUGAUGACAGUAUCAAUGAGGUGACAUUCAAUCCUUUGACCCAACGUGUGUCUGCAGUGUGCCUGCCAUCCAUUAGUAAAUGGGCAAAGCCAUUUGACAGAUCUAUCUGAUACAAUGAAUGAAUCUGACAGUCACAUUUUGAAAAACUGAAACUGUAUCCAUUUGUCAAGAACAGUGGCUACUUGUUCUGCUUUAUUCCCCCUGGUAGAACUAGGUAACAUUGCAGGCAGUAAGAUGUUCCGGCAUUUCACCCUGGAGUAGCCCCAAAACUGAAGAAGCUGUCUUAUCAGUAGUUAGCUCCUUGUCACCAAGAAUAUUAAAGUAGAUUUGUAUGAUUAGCAAAUUAAAGAGACUGUAGUGCCUACCACUACUGUAUUCACUAAGGCACCCAAGUUAUUCUGAAGAAAUCCUAAUAAUACAUUAGGACCGUUUUGAAUAUUUUUAUUUGAUUAGCCGUACUCUUCUAGUUAUAACAUCCAUCACCAUUUUGACCACUGAAACUUGGCCUUCUUUUCUUACAGCCUAGCCCUGUGGUCUUGGGCUAAUCAGUAACCUGCUUAGAUACAAUUUUCUUCUCUAUGAAAUAGAAACAAUAUUAUAUGCUUUGAAGGACUGCAGGAAGAUGAGCUGUAAUGUUUAUCAAGUGCCUAUUCCAGAAAUGACGUCUGCUGAAGGAGAAUAUGUUCUAGCAAUGAAAUCUUCAAAAGACUCCUGCCGCUGCUCUGUGACUGCGACCCCCAGGUUGUCUUUGGAAGUUUCUAAGGCCUCCUGAGUAGAGACUGGGACAUGGAAGGAGUCGACAGGCAAAGGAAUCCCAGCAUCACCUGUAAUUUUCUGAAACUGGAGGGAAAAACAAAAGACAAGACAAAAAUUCGGUGAUGAACAAAGCCAACCAUUAAAAAGUAGAGUUCAAAACUUCAA